rnacentral:rRNA from 1 species
GACGAACGCUGGCGGCGUGCCUAAUACAUGCAAGUCGAGCGAAUCAAUAGGAGCUUGCUCCUGUUGAUUAGCGGCGGACGGGUGAGUAACACGUGGGCAACCUGCCUGUAAGAUCGGGAUAACUUCGGGAAACCGGAGCUAAUACCGGAUAAUCCUUUUCCACAUAUGUGGGAAAGCUGAAAGACGGUUUCGGCUGUCACUUACAGCUGGGCCCGCGGCGCAUUAGCGAGUUGGUGAGGUAACGGCUCACCAAGGCGACGAUGCAUAGCCGACCUGAGAGGGUGAUCGGCCACACUGGGACUGAGACACGGCCCAGACUCCUACGGGAGGCAGCAGUAGGGAAUCUUCCGCAAUGGACGAAAGUCUGACGGAGCAACGCCGCGUGAGCGAUGAAGGCCUUCGGGUCGUAAAGCUCUGUUGUUAGGGAAGAACAAGUAUCGGAGUAACUGCCGGUACCUUGACGGUACCUAACCAGAAAGCCACGGCUAACUACGUGCCAGCCGCCGCAGUAA